UUAAGCGACCAAGCGUACACGGUGGAUGCCCUGGCAGUCAGAGGCGAUGAAGGGCGUGCUAAUCUGCGAUAAGCGCCGGUAAGGUGAUAUGAACCGUUAUAACCGGCGAUACCCGAAUGGGGAAACCCAGUGUGACUCGUCACACUAUCAUUAACUGAAUCCAUAGGUUAAUGAGGCGAACCGGGGGAACUGAAACAUCUAAGUACCCCGAGGAAAAGAAAUCAACCGAGAUUCCCCCAGUAGCGGCGAGCGAACGGGGAGGAGCCCAGAGCCUGAAUCAGCAUGUGUGUUAGUGGAAGCGUCUGGAAAGGCGCGCGACACAGGGUGACAGCCCCGUACACAAAAGCGCAUGUGCUGUGAGCUCGAUGAGUAGGGCGGGACACGUGGUAUCCUGUCUGAAUAUGGGGGGACCAUCCUCCAAGGCUAAAUACUCCUGACUGACCGAUAGUGAACCAGUACCGUGAGGGAAAGGCGAAAAGAACCCCGGCGAGGGGAGUGAAACAGAACCUGAAACCGUGUACGUACAAGCAGUGGGAGCAUGAGUUUACUCAUGUGACUGCGUACCUUUUGUAUAAUGGGUCAGCGACUUAUAUUCUGUAGCAAGGUUAACCGAAUAGGGGAGCCGGAGGGAAACCGAGUCUUAAUUGGGCGUUAAGUUGCAGGGUAUAGACCCGAAACCCGGUGAUCUAGCCAUGGGCAGGUUGAAGGUUGGGUAACACUAACUGGAGGACCGAACCGACUAAUGUUGAAAAAUUAGCGGAUGACCUGUGGCUGGGGGUGAAAGGCCAAUCAAACCGGGAGAUAGCUGGUUCUCCCCGAAAGCUAUUUAGGUAGCGCCUCGUGAAUUCAUCUCCGGGGGUAGAGCACUGUUUCGGCCAGGGGGCCAUCCCGGCUUACCAACCCGAUGCAAACUGCGAAUACCGGAGAAUGUUAUCACGGGAGACACACGGCGGGUGCUAACGUCCGUCGUGAAGAGGGAAACAACCCAGACCGCCAGCUAAGGUCCCAAAGUCAUGGUUAAGUGGGAAACGAUGUGGGAAGGCCCAGACAGCCAGGAUGUUGGCUUAGAAGCAGCCAUCAUUUAAAGAAAGCGUAAUAGCUCACUGGUCGAGUCGGCCUGCGCGGAAGAUGUAACGGGGCUAAACCAUGCACCGAAGCUGCGGCAGCGACACUGUGUGUCGUUGGGUAGGGGAGCGUUCUGUAAGCCUGCGAAGGUGGCCUGUGAGGGUUGCUGGAGGUAUCAGAAGUGCGAAUGCUGACAUAAGUAACGAUAAUGCGGGUGAAAAACCCGCACGCCGGAAGACCAAGGGUUCCUGUCCAACGUUAAUCGGGGCAGGGUGAGUCGACCCCUAAGGCGAGGCCGAAAGGCGUAGUCGAUGGGAAACAGGUUAAUAUUCCUGUACCUGGUGUUACUGCGAAGGGGGGACGGAGAAGGCUAUGUUGGCCGGGCGACGGUUGUCCCGGUUUAAGCGUGCAGGUGUGUGUUCCAGGAAAAUCCGGUUCACUUUAACACUGAGGCGUGACGACGAGGCACUACGGUGCUGAAGCAACAAAUGCCCUGCUUCCAGGAAAAGCCUCUAAGCCUCAGGUAACAUCAGAUCGUACCCGAAACCGACACAGGUGGUCAGGUAGAGAAUACCAAGGCGCUUGAGAGAACCCGGGUGAAGGAACUAGGCAAAAUGGUGCCGUAACUUCGGGAGAAGGCACGCUGACACGUAGGUGAAGCGGUUUACCCGUGAAGCUGAAGUCAGUCGAAGAUACCAGCUGGCUGCAACUGUUUAUUAAAAACACAGCACUGUGCAAACACGAAAGUGGACGUAUACGGUGUGACGCCUGCCCGGUGCCGGAAGGUUAAUUGAUGGGGUCAGCGCAAGCGAAGCUCCUGAUCGAAGCCCCGGUAAACGGCGGCCGUAACUAUAACGGUCCUAAGGUAGCGAAAUUCCUUGUCGGGUAAGUUCCGACCUGCACGAAUGGCGUAAUGAUGGCCAGGCUGUCUCCACCCGGGACUCAGUGAAAUUGAACUCGCUGUGAAGAUGCAGUGUACCCGCGGCAAGACGGAAAGACCCCGUGAACCUUUACUAUAGCUUGACACUGAACACUGGUCCUUGAUGUGCAGGAUAGGUGGGAGGCUUUGAAGUGUGGACGCCAGUCUGCAUGGAGCCGUCCUUGAAAUACCACCCUUUAAUGGCUGGUGUUCUAACGUAGACCCGUGAACCGGGUUGCGGACAGUGUCUGGUGGGUAGUUUGACUGGGGCGGUCUCCUCCUAAAGCGUAACGGAGGAGCACGAAGGUUGGCUAAUCCUGGUCGGACAUCAGGAGGUUAGUGCAAUGGCAUAAGCCAGCUUGACUGCGAGCGUGACGGCGCGAGCAGGUGCGAAAGCAGGUCAUAGUGAUCCGGUGGUUCUGAAUGGAAGGGCCAUCGCUCAACGGAUAAAAGGUACUCCGGGGAUAACAGGCUGAUACCGCCCAAGAGUUCAUAUCGACGGCGGUGUUUGGCACCUCGAUGUCGGCUCAUCACAUCCUGGGGCUGAAGUAGGUCCCAAGGGUAUGGCUGUUCGCCAUUUAAAGUGGUACGCGAGCUGGGUUUAGAACGUCGUGAGACAGUUCGGUCCCUAUCUGCCGUGGGCGCUGGAGAACUGAGGGGGGCUGCUCCUAGUACGAGAGGACCGGAGUGGACGCAUCACUGGUGUUCGGGUUGUCAUGCCAAUGGCACUGCCCGGUAGCUAAAUGCGGAAGAGAUAAGUGCUGAAAGCAUCUAAGCACGAAACUUGCCCCGAGAUGAGUUCUCCCUGAGACUACAAGUCUCCUGAAGGAACGUUGAAGACGACGACGUUGAUAGGCCGGGUGUGUAAGCGCAGCGAUGCGUUGAGCUAACCGGUACUAAUGAACCGUGAGGCUUAACCUU
rnacentral:rRNA from 1 species